UUUCCGUAGGUGAACCAGCGGAGGGAUCAUUACAGGAUCGAAAGACUCCUAUAACCCCUGUGAACUUACUACAAAUACGUUGCUUCGGCGGGUGCCCCGGGUCUCCCGGGGCGUUCAGCCCGCCGGCAGCCUUCAAAUUCUGUUUCUUUGCGUUGGCAUCUCGAGUAUACAAAAAUAAGUUAAAACUUUCAACAACGGAUCUCUUGGUUCUGGCAUCAAUGAAGAACGCAGC
rnacentral:misc_RNA from 1 species